UAAUACGGAGGGUGCGAGCGUUAAUCGGAAUUACUGGGCGUAAAGACGCAUGCAGGCGGCCUGUUAAGUCAGAUGUGAAAGACCCGGGGCUUAAACCUCGGAAUUGCAUUUGUAAACUAGGCAGGCUAGAGUCUUGUAGAGGGGGGUAGGAAUUUCAGGUGUAGCGGUGAAAUAGCGUAGAGAUCUGAAGGAAUACCAGUGGCGAAGGCGGCCCCCUGGACAAAGACUGACGCUCAGAUGCGAAAGCGUGGGGAGCAAACAGGAUUAGAUACCCUGGUAG
rnacentral:rRNA from 1 species